rnacentral:tRNA from 2 species
GCCGAUUUAGCUCAGUUGGUUAGAGCGCAUCUCUCGUAAAGAUGAGGUCGGAGGUUCGACUCCUCUAAUCGGCA